AUGGCUCAGAGUGAACGCUGGCGGCAGGCCUAACACAUGCAAGUCGAACGGUAGCACAGAGGAGCUUGCUCCUUGGGUGACGAGUGGCGGACGGGUGAGGAAUACAUCGGGAUCUACCUUUUCGUGGGGGAUAACGUAGGGAAACUUACGCUAAUACCGCAUACGCCCUACGGGGGAAAGCGGCGGACCGCAAGGCGUCGCGCGAUGAGAUGAACCGAUGUCCGAUUAGCUAGUUGGCGGGGUAAAGGCCCACCAAGGCGACGAUCGGUAGCUGAUCUGAGAGGAUGAUCAGCCACACUGGAACUGAGACACGGUCCAGACUCCUACGGGAGGCAGCAGUGGGGAAUAUUGGACAAUGGGCGCAAGCCUGAUCCAGCCAUGCCGCGUGGGUGAAGAAGGCCUUCGGGUUGUAAAGCCCUUUUGUCCGGAAAGAAAAGCACGGGAUUAAUACCCUCGUGUGAUGACGGUACCGGAAGAAUAAGCACCGGCUAACUUCGUGCCAGCAGCCGCGGUAAUACGAAGGGUGCAAGCGUUACUCGGAAUUACUGGGCGUAAAGCGUG
rnacentral:rRNA from 1 species